rnacentral:lncRNA from 1 species
AAAGCAUGACCAAUCAGAAAUCAGAUCUCAAAAAAUUGACCAAUUAGAAAAGACUAUGACAAUAUUCAUUGAAUCUAGACAUUUUUGAUAUUUUAUUUAUUUUUAAUUAUUUUUUAUAUUAUAUUUUUAUUAAAUAAAAGGAAAAUAUUAAAAAUAAAUAUUUAAAAAAUACCUAUUUAAAUCAAAAUGAAAACUAUUUAAAAA